rnacentral:lncRNA from 1 species
AAAAAAGGAAUCGGGCUGCAUCUGAGAUUGGGCCCAACAGAAGGAAAACAACAACAAAAAAAAGGGCGCUCGGGUGUGGCCUCACCCAGUGGGCUGAGGCCCAGUCGGUUGGUUACUAGGCUGCAGCUGGAGAGCACAGCUGGGCCUUGGAGCCCACCAGAUCUACGCGUACGGAUGCGGCGCAGUCAACGCAGGCGUCGAUACUGUCGUCCUCCUCUCGAUAGAGGCUGCACGGGACUUGGGGACGAGCACUCCUGCUCGAAGAAGAGGAAGCAGAGGUUAGCGGCAGGUUCAGCAGGGACGGGGACGACGCUCCGGUGACGGGCGAUGCCUGGGUUCGGAUCCGGCGGCCGGCACAUUGAUCUGAAGCAGAGGAGGUAGCGGCGUCUAAGCCCUAUACAUGGCGGCAGAGAGAGGGAGCAGAGAGAUUAGGGAGGUGGAAGAAGAAGGGAUGGAAAAGGAAAGGGCGACGAGGGCUGGCCUUGCCGCGGUGGUCUCCAUGGCGAGUCGAGGCGGGGCGCACUGCUGCUGGCCAGCGCGUGGACGAGCUCCUGCUCCUGGUUCGAGAGGGGGCGCAAGAAAUCAGGGCGCCGUGGUGCUCUGCGGCUGGACGUGGGAGGAGGCCAGAGGUCCUGCAGGAGAUCCUCUCCGGCGACGAGGUGGGGCUCGGUGAGGAGCAUGGCAUGGAGGAGUCCCUCUCCUGUUGGGCUCGGAGAGCAGGACGAAGCAGAUCAGGAGGGAGUUCGAGUGGAGCUCGGGGAUGAGGGGAGAUCGGGCGCUGCUGGGCAGAGGAGCUCGGGCUCCUGCGGGAUUAGAGCGGCGCGGCUUGGUUGGAUCGAUUGGAAGGAGGACGAGUUUGGCUUGUGCUGAAAACAAGGGAGUUGGUCGUGUCGGCCGGGUGGAGUGGAUGGAUCUGGGAGGAUCUCGAUGGAGAUGGUGGGUGGGUGGCCGCGGCAGACACGGAAUGGAUGGGACAUCCCCUAGGUUUUAGGGUUUUGUCUCAAAUUAGACUAGGGGUUCUAUAUAUAUAUGGAAAGAGGGGAGUGGUUAGACCCUCCGAUCGUAAUCGGACGAUCACGAAUAAAAAAGCUAGGUAGUAUAAAUAAGAAAACGGUGAUGUUUUGUAGAUGUUUGGAGAUGUUCCGGACACAACGGUGACGACUGCCCGGGUCGGGUCCGGGACAGCUUUCGGACGCGCGCGCGAGGAGGGACGUGGUGUGACGAGAGAGGUUAGGUUGGACCUGGCUGUAGGUAGUGGGCCAUGCAGAAAGCCUUGGGCUGAGAGAAGAGAAGAGAGAGACCCGGCGACUGUUUCCGGAGACCGAAAACAUCCGAUGUUUUGACCGACUAUAUUGUCGCUAUAGUUAACGGUUGGGCUACCAAACGGACUCUGAACGCGAUGAAAUUUGACUGGCGGUCUUCCUACACUAAAAUAAGACUGCACGCAAACUUUCAACCCAUUCCAAGAACAUUUUCCGGCCACUUAUAAAAUAAUAUAUCGGACAUGCCGCGGGCGCGUGCGAGUGUGGUUGGGCUCAGAACGGACAACGGACGGAACCCGGACGGAUGCAAGUUUUGAAAACAUGAUGAUGCAAUGCACAUGAUGACAUGAUGAAAUGCAACACGCAGGCAAAUGACAUGGCAACAAUAGCGAAUAACUGGAAGACACCUGGCGCAACGGUCUCGGGGCGUUACAACACUCCACCACUACGAGAGGAUCUCGUCCUGAGAUCUAGAAUGGCACCGGAGGGAAAAACGGAAGAGAAAGAGAAGAGGUAAAACUAAGUUGCUUCUUUGACAAACGAGUGAGACCAAAGAACCUUGAAAAGGUUAAGACAUUCGAGAGAAGCAUACAACGGAGAUGACGAAGCUGAAAACACUCCGUUAGAAAAGAGGAACAAGGGAGAACAACUUCGGGCAGCACUCCGAUUGUAAAGAAAAGGAAUUGAAUAAGAACUUGAUAAGAUGAGAAGAUACUUGAAUGAAAACAUGACACACUGCCUCCGGAACUAUUGAAUGAAUGGAACAAGGGGGUAAGAAAGAUUUUAGACGGCACUCCGGUUGAGAAGGAAGCCAAAAACUUGACAUAAUGGGAAGAAGUUGAAAAGAGGGCAUGACACUCCGGUUAAAUGGAUAAACACGACAAGAACAUGAUCUUUGAAAAAAAAUGAGAUGAUGGUUGAAUAUAGCAACAAUACCAUGCCUCCGGAACGAAUGUAAGAAUGGAAUCAAAAGAACGGAGAGGAAAGCAACAUCUUCUACCUCAAAUGAGCUUUAAAAGCAUCUUUAGGAGAAGGGUCGAACGGAGUUGUUGGAAAUCCAACAACGAAAAUAAUAAGCUUGAUAUGGUCUUAUGGAAUACAUCUUCAAUUAUGAGGUGACAACCUGCCACUCACGGAAAAAAGAAUUGGAUUGAUAAGAACAAGGGGACGAGAAACUUAUUUCACCGGGAGGAUAAAUGAAGCACUAUGAUCAUAUAUUAUCACCAUUAAUAGCAACAAUCCUUAGGGAAAGCUUUAGGUGAAAUAUAACCCAAGAUAACUCCAAUGAAAAGGUUGAUGGAUUUAAAAUAUCUCAUUCUUGAUAACUUGUGACUCGCGAAGCACGAAGGGAAAUCAUCAAGAAUGACAUAAUACCACCUCCAAUGGUACGGUAGAAAGAAUUGCACUCCGGAUUAGAAGAUGAAGAAAAACUUGAGCUCCUUAGAAAAAAUGUUGAUGAACACUUCGAGAAGGAAUUAAAUCCUUGAAGAACCACCAUGUUGAGCCUUCGUGAAAACAUCGGUAAAAAGAAUGAUCAACGAAAUGGAGGAUGAAAAGAAUAAGGUUGAAGCCUUGCAAUGAUUUAAAUGAAUCUCCGUGGAGAUGUAAUUUAAAAAAAGGUUGGAACUCCGGGAAAAGAGAAGAUGAAACAAUUUAAAUCAAGAAUUUGAUGAGCCUCCGGAAUAGGGAAUUAAUCACUUGGGUGAAUCAAGAAUAAGAAUUAUGUUAUGCUCAUCCUUCACCAAUUCAAAUUGAUGACAAGCAAUGGAAUUGGCAUAAUACUUAUUCUCGUAGAGAGGAUUAAGAUAGAUAUUGCAUAAUUUUGAUAAGGUCUUCGACGAACCACCAGUAGGAUGAAAGAACGAAUGAAUCGAUACAAAAAAACAAAGGAAGAGAAAUCUUGAACAAGCCACCGGUAAGAAUUGAAAAUGAACGAAGUAAAAGGGGUGAAUCACCGGUAAGAAUUAGCAAAUGAACGAAGAUACAUGAGAGAGUUUAGAUGCAAGUGAACGAAGAGAUCGUGAAUUGAUUAGAGAAAACUUGAACGAAGCACCGUUAAGAUUUAGAGUAUGAGAGCUGAAAACUAGAAUGAAUAAAUCUUAGAUGAUGGGAUCCGGAGAAUCAAACUGAAAAGACUCCUGAAUUGCUACGGAUAGGUGAAAAGAAUUCUCACGAUCGAAAAUAUUUAUGAGAUGAUGGUAACAAGCUAGAAUCACGAAUUUUGAAGAGAAUGGAGCAAGAUCAAAGAGAAACUCUUCUUCGGUCUUCAAAUUCUGAGAAUUACGAUGGGACACACCACCAAAUUGUUGAGAUACUCCAGGAUGAAAAUUAGAAAGGUUGAACCAACGAUGAAAAGAAAAGAAAGAUCUUGGAGAAAAGCAUUUGACUGAUGAUAAUUUAUUCUUACGUCAAACUUUAAAAGAGUUAAGAAUAGCUCCGGUAAAAUAAGAGGAGUGAGGUAAGAUCCUGGAAAAAGACCUGUGGGUUAGGGCCCACUCAAAGAAACACUGUUGAAAAGGUCGCUUGGAAGAUAGAUUGCACCGGUUGAAUUAAAAGACUUGAAUGAGAGAACAUCCUCGAAAGAUCUUGAACGAAUGCAGAGUGGAAACAUGAGUCUUCGAGAUAUCUUUAGCUCUCCGGAACAAUAGAAUAGAGAGAAAUGAAUUAUUAUGAGGUGUACCGGUAUGGAGAAACAUUUGAAAUGAGGAAAAAUAUAUGGUCAACAAAGCUAGACUUGGUUCCACCGGAGAAGAAAAAGAAUGAAUAAUGAUGAACUUGAAGCUUCGUUAGAAUCUUCAUGAGAAUCGCCGGGUAAGAACAUGAAGGAAAAGAAUGGAGAGACUUCCAUCAAUAAAAUGAUACUUGAUUGGGAAAUCUUAGUCCUUGAAGAAAAAGGGUGGGUGGGUGGGAAAACAAAGACGACAUAGAUCGGAUGAAAAGAACACCGUUGAGAAAGCUGAGAUUUAAUCUUGCAGAUGUUGAAAUGAACGGAUCCACUUGCCGGUAGAGAAGAAAUUUAGAUGACAAUCUCGAUGAUCACGAAGGAUUUGUAUUCACAUAAGAACAUGAGAACACCAUUUAGAGAAGGUAUGGAAUCAACAUUUGACUUCGAAGCAACUCGAAUACCACACUCAAAACAAAACAAGAAUUGGCUUGCAGAAUACACCGGAACAAACAUAUGAUAGAGAUUUCGUCCGAAGUUUUCGUGGUGGGGCCUACACGGGCUUGAUCGUACAGCACCAUCAUGUACAAGGCAGUGCACAUGACAUACGAAGCGUCCCCGAGUCGGCAUAGCCAAGGACUCUUUAAGACACAACAAGACCACUGUAAAACCAACCGUGAAUAGGCAGACCACUAGACGUCGAACCCCAAUUUCAUAUCAUACAUCUGACGGAAAGAUAUCCUAAGAGCUACUUGAAUUCCCACUUAUUAACUCCUGAAAUUUUCCGGUUAUGCAAUUAGGUGUUGGGGAUACAGGGGAAGCAUAAUAUCUCACCCAAACUAGGAAAUCCUACAUCCAGCUGUAUCCAUCCUUCAACACAUAACCAAGAAACCUUCGGAAAUCAUCUACCUCAACCUUCGAAAAGCAUCCGUUAUACAAGUUAUGGCAAUACUCCCGAACUCCCGCCCUAGUACUGGGUGGCGUCGAGGUUAUCUGACCAACAACUGCAUAAAAGAGAUUUUCUAUGUCGGCGAACUAAACUCAGGUAUUCCAGAACUGCAACGAUAAAAUUGUGACGACAACACCUCGGAGCUCAACUCGCCGGGACACUGCCACAACCCCUAAAUGAUAGGAGGCACCAAUAACAAUGUUCUCGUCACAAAUCAAUCAGAACGAUUCCAAGAUACCCGCGUGAUCCUAAAAAAAUUUGUGAAAAAUUUGAGAAGAGAAGAGUCAAAACUCUACGUCAGGAUGCCUCACCAGAGCGACGAAGGGACUGGGGAGUAAAAAGAAUUCCUAAACUCUCCAAUAUAUAAUUCCUAAAUGACUCAAAACAUUUUCUAGACUCAACUCAUCCACUAAUUCGAUCAAGCAGUGGGGGCUCCUAAGGUCGGGGAAGGCUCUGAUUGCCAACUUGUAACGCCCUCGAUGCGGCUAUAUCUCCCACGUGUCGAAGCACGACUUAGAGACAUAACUGCAUUGAAAGCAAUGUCGCAAGUGAGAUAAUCUUUGCAAAACAACCCAUGUAAUACAAUAAGGGAAAAGAUACAUAGUUGGCUUACAAUCGCCACUUCACACAAAUACAUGAAUAAAGCAUUACAUCAUCCAAAUACAGUCAAGGUCCGACUACGGAACCAAAAUAAAAGAAGAACCCCAAAUGCGACAAGGUCCCCCGAUCGACCCCAACUGGGCUCCACUACUGAUCAACUAGAACGAAACAACACAAAGGACAAGAUCUUCAUCGAGCUCCUCCUUGAGCUUGGUUGCGUCAUCUUCACGGACUCAUCGGCACCUGCAAGCUGGUUUUGGAAGUAUCUGUGAGUCACGAGGACUCAGCAAUCUCGCACCCUCGCGAUCAAGACUAUUUAAGCUUAUGGGUAGGGUAAAGGUAUGAGGUGGAGCUGCAGCAAGCGACUAGCAUAUAUGGUGGCUAACAUACGCAAAUGAGAGCGAGAAGAGAAGGCAAAGCACGGUCAAACAACUAUGAUCAAGAAGUGAUCCUAGAACAACCUACGUCAAGCAUAACUCCAACACCGUGUUCACUUGCCGGACUCCGCCGGAAAGAGACCAUCACGGUUACACACGCGGUUGAUGUAUUUUAAUUAAGGUCAACUUCAGGUUUUCUACAACCAGACGUUAACAAAUUCCCAUCUGCCCAUAACCGCGGGCACGGCUUUCGAAAGUUGAAUCCCUGCAGGGGAGUCCCAACUUAGCCCAUGACAAGCUCCCACGGUCAAUGAAGGAUAUACCUUCUCCCGAGACAUUCUGAUCAGACUCGGUAUCCCGGUUCUACAAGACAACUUCGACAAGUUAAAACAAAUCCAGCAACACUGCCCGAAUGUGCCGACAAAUCCCGAUAGGAGCUGCACAUAUCUCGUUCUCAGGGCACACUCAGAUGAGCAAUCCGUACAACUAAAACCAAACCUCGAGUUUCCCCGAGGGGGCGCUGCACAGGGCUCUAGUUUGGACCAACACUCAGAGGAGCACUGGCCCAGGGGGGUUUAAAUAAAGAUGACCCUUGAGUCCGCGGAACCCAAGGGAAAAAGAGGCUAGGUGGCGAAUGGUAAAACCAAGGUUGGGCAUUGCUGGAAGAGUUUAUUAAAGGCGAUUUGUCAAGGGGUUCCCAUUAUUACCCAACCGCGUAAGGAACGCAAAAUCCGGGAACAUAACACCGAUAUGACAGAAACUAGGUCGGCAAGAGUGGAACAAAACACCAGGCAUAAGGCCGAGCCUUCCACCCUUUACCAAGUAUAUAGAUGCAUUAGUUAGAUAAGAGAUAUUGUGAUAUCCCAACAAGUAAACAUGUUCCAAUAAGGAACAACAUCUCCAUGUUCCAACAAGGAACAAACUUCAAUCUUCACCUGCAACUAACAACGCUAUAAGAGGGGCUGAGCAAAGCGGUAACAUAGCCAAACAAUGGUUUGCUAGGACAAGGUGGGUUAGAGGCUUGGUUCAACAAUAUGGGAGGCAUGAUAAGCAAGUGGUAGGUAUCGCAGCAUAGGCAUAGCAAAAGAGCGAGCAACUAGCAAGCAAAGAUAGAAGUGAUUUCGAGGGUAUGGUCAUCUUGCCUAAAAUCCCACAAGGAAGAAGAAACGAGUCCAUGACGAAGACAAACGGACAUAGUCGAACGGAUUCUCACAAACGCGACGUUAUCGGAACCAACCCGAAGAAACAACCCCGGAAAGAAGCAAACAACAUAGUAAACAACCAACACAUCAACAUGGCAUGACGCACAAUCGAGUAUGAUGCAUGUCCAGUUUAAUGAAGCAUGGCAUGGCAAAGUGCACAAACAAUCCUACAAAUUAAGUGGAGCUCAUUAUGCAACAGAGUUGCAUAUUGAAGAAAACACCACAUGACUUAUUUAGUUCUCUCUCGUUUAUGUACCCAACAAUAUUAAAUGUUGUUAAACAUGGCAAGAGGGUGAAGAAAAGUAAACUACCUAUCUAGUCAAGUUUAAAUGAGGUCGGAAACAUCAAACAACAAGUCCGGAAACUCCUCAUGAGCAUAUUAUAGAUUUGGUACUGUUCUGCCCUAAACAUUAUUUUAGAGUUGUUAAACAUGCAAGAUGAGUUCACCAAGUAAAUCUAGGCAUUUUUCUACCCCAUUUACAUAUAAGGUUUGUUUAAACCUGAGCUACAGUUAAUUAGUUAUGAAUUAAAGCAUUUUAGCAUGGCAUAGGAGCAAGUUAUAUGUAAACAACAUUUUAAACAUUUUAAACAUGCAUGAAAAUGACAUAUAAUGAAACUAGAUGAAAAACUAAGCAUAUUUCAUAUAUAAUUCAUUUUAAUCCGAUGCACAAAUUGUGAGUUAUUAUAUGCAUGUUGUGCAAGGGGUUUUCUGAAAAACUGCAGUCUCUGGAAUAAUAUCUAAAUUUGUUCCACGGAGAAAAAGGGAAUCGGGCUGCAUCUGAGAUUGGGCCCAACAGAAGGAAAACAACAACAACAAAAAAGGGCGCUCGGGUGUGGCCUCAACCAGUGGGCUAAGGCCCAGUCGGUUGGUUACUCGGCUGCAUUUGGAGAGCGCAGCUGGGCCUUGGAGCCCACCAGAUGUACGCAUACGGAUGCGGCGCAGUCAACACAGGCGUCGAGACUGUCGUCCUCCUCUCGACAGAGGCCGCACAGGACUUGGGGACGAGCACUCAUGCUCGAAGAAGAGGAAGCAGAGGUCAGCGGCAGGUUCCGUAGGGACAGGGACGACACUCCGGCGACGGGCGACGCCUGGGUUCGGAUCCGGCGGCCGGCGCGUUGAUCUGAAGCAGAGGAGGCAGCAGCGUCGAAGCCCUAUACAUGGUGGCAGAGAGAGGGGGCAGAGAGAUUAGGGAGGUGGAAGAAGAAGGGAUGGAAAAGGAGAA